AGAGUUUGAUCCUGGCUCAGGAUGAACGCUAGCUACAGGCUUAACACAUGCAAGUCGAGGGGAAACGACAUCGAAAGCUUGCUUUUGAUGGGCGUCGACCGGCGCACGGGUGAGUAACGCGUAUCCAACCUGCCCACCACUUGGGGAUAACCUUGCGAAAGUAAGACUAAUACCCAAUGACGUCUCUAGAAGACAUCUGAAAGAGAUUAAAGAUUUAUCGGUGAUGGAUGGGGAUGCGUCUGAUUAGCUUGUUGGCGGGGUAACGGCCCACCAAGGCGACGAUCAGUAGGGGUUCUGAGAGGAAGGUCCCCCACAUUGGAACUGAGACACGGUCCAAACUCCUACGGGAGGCAGCAGUGAGGAAUAUUGGUCAAUGGGCGAGAGCCUGAACCAGCCAAGUAGCGUGCAGGAUGACGGCCCUAUGGGUUGUAAACUGCUUUUAUAAGGGAAUAAAGUGAGUCUCGUGAGACUUUUUGCAUGUACCUUAUGAAUAAGGACCGGCUAAUUCCGUGCCAGCAGCCGCGGUAAUACGGAAGGUCCGGGCGUUAUCCGGAUUUAUUGGGUUUAAAGGGAGCGUAGGCCGGAGAUUAAGCGUGUUGUGAAAUGUAGAUGCUCAACAUCUGCACUGCAGCGCGAACUGGUUUCCUUGAGUACGCACAAAGUGGGCGGAAUUCGUGGUGUAGCGGUGAAAUGCUUAGAUAUCACGAAGAACUCCGAUUGCGAAGGCAGCUCACUGGAGCGCAACUGACGCUGAAGCUCGAAAGUGCGGGUAUCGAACAGGAUUAGAUACCCUGGUAGUCCGCACGGUAAACGAUGGAUGCCCGCUGUUGGUCUGAAUAGGUCAGCGGCCAAGCGAAAGCAUUAAGCAUCCCACCUGGGGAGUACGCCGGCAACGGUGAAACUCAAAGGAAUUGACGGGGGCCCGCACAAGCGGAGGAACAUGUGGUUUAA
rnacentral:rRNA from 1 species